rnacentral:rRNA from 1 species
AGAGUUUGAUCCUGGCUCAGAUUGAACGCUGGCGGAAUGCUUUACACAUGCAAGUCGAACGGCAGCACGGGAGCUUGCUCCUGGUGGCGAGUGGCGAACGGGUGAGUAAUGCGUCGGAACGUACCGAGUAAUGGGGGAUAACGCACCGAAAGGUGUGCUAAUACCGCAUACGCCCCGAGGGGGAAAGCAGGGGAUCGCAAGACCUUGCGUUAUUCGAGCGGCCGACGUCUGAUUAGCUAGUUGGUGGGGUAAAGGCCUACCAAGGCGACGAUCAGUAGCGGGUCUGAGAGGAUGAUCCGCCACACUGGGACUGAGACACGGCCCAGACUCCUACGGGAGGCAGCAGUGGGGAAUUUUGGACAAUGGGGGAAACCCUGAUCCAGCCAUUCCGCGUGAGUGAAGAAGGCCUUCGGGUUGUAAAGCUCUUUCAGCUGGAACGAAACGGUACGCUCUAACAUAGCGUGCUAAUGACGGUACCAGCAGAAGAAGCACCGGCUAACUACGUGCCAGCAGCCGCGGUAAUACGUAGGGUGCGAGCGUUAAUCGGAAUUACUGGGCGUAAAGCGUGCGCAGGCGGAUUGUUAAGCAAGAUGUGAAAUCCCCGGGCUUAACCUGGGAAUGGCAUUUUGAACUGGCAGUCUAGAGUGUGUCAGAGGGGGGUGGAAUUCCACGUGUAGCAGUGAAAUGCGUAGAUAUGUGGAGGAACACCAAUGGCGAAGGCAGCCCCCUGGGAUAACACUGACGCUCAUGUACGAAAGCGUGGGUAGCAAACAGGAUUAGAUACCCUGGUAGUCCACGCCCUAAACGAUGUCAACUGGUUGUUGGGGGAGUGAAAUCCCUUAGUAACGAAGCUAACGCGUGAAGUUGACCGCCUGGGGAGUACGGUCGCAAGAUUAAAACUCAAAUGAAUUGACGG